GCCCUUUCUCCAUAAAGAUUGCCUUGAGUCCCCCUGGCUCCAGGCCUGACUCUGAACCCUGGCACCGGACACAGCCCUGUCCCUGGCAAUGCCUGUGUGUCCGGGACCCCUGGGGACGUCUCCCAGGAGUCUUCCCCUCAGCAGGAACACCCCCCUCCUCUUUGUCCUCCGGUUGAGUAUUCAGAGGAAGUCCCAGGUCAGUGCCUCACCUUUCAGCUGUUCCAGCACCUCAGUCUGCCCGGAGGACACCAACACACGGGCCUCCUGCUCCAGUUUGCCCUUGCAGCCUCCUCCUGGAAGCCCUCCUGCCUGCCCUUCAUCCCAGGCUGCCUCGCGGAACUGCAUCAGACAUCUCCAUCACCAAUAAGAAAGGACCUACAGCUGGGGGGGGGGGG